rnacentral:rRNA from 1 species
UACGGGGGAGGCAAGCGUUGUUCGGAAUUACUGGGCGUAAAGGGCUCGUAGGCGGCCAACUAAGUCAGACGUGAAAUCCCUCGGCUUAACCGGGGAACUGCGUCUGAUACUGGAUGGCUUGAAUCCGGGAGAGGGAUGCGGAAUUCCAGGUGUAGCGGUGAAAUGCGUAGAUAUCUGGAGGAACACCGGUGGCGAAGGCGGCAUCCUGGACCGGCAUUGACGCUGAGGAGCGAAAGCCAGGGGAGCAAACGGG